UGAACGGUAUCGUAGGUAGGUGAGAGGGGAGACGCCUAAGUGUUUGUUGUAGCAUGAAUCUCGCUGAACGGUAUCGUAGGUAGGUGAGAGGGGAGACGCCUAAGUGUUUGUUGUAGCAUGAAUCUCGCUGAACGGUAUCGUAGGUAGGUGAGAGGGGAGACGCCUAAGUGUUUGUUGUAGCAUGAAUCUCGCUGAACGGUAUCGUAGGUAGGUGAGAGGGGAGACGCCUAAGUGUUUGUUGUAGCAUGAAUCUCGCUGAACGGUAUCGUAGGUAGGUGAGAGGGGAGACGCCUAAGUGUUUGUUGUAGCAUGAAUCUCGCUGAACGGUAUCGUGGGUAGGUGAGAGGGGAGACGCCUAAGUGCGUGACG